GUCGAGACUGGGUGGAGGCGACGCUCCGGGGUGCCCGAACUGCCCGAGCGCUCGGACAGAAGAGCGAGUAGUGGCGGGGUUAGGGUUGCGGAGUCGGUCCCGGCUGGGCUUGAGAGUUGAAGCCUCCUGAAUUGUCCUCCAGGCUGCUGUUACACAGCCUCCGGCUUCUCGUGUCGGGGUUUGGUUAAGUAAAAGAACGAGGAAAGAAGGAUCUCCUUAAGCAGAAGAGCGGAAGCGAUGAGGUGCAAAUGGAGAGAAAUGGAUCCACAGGGAUAGAGGCAUCGUGGUGGAGAAGGCUUGGCAGCGCGAGCAGGAUGUUGAGUGCUCAUCUCAACUGGACCGAGGAAGCAAAGGAAGAAUGAGAGAGCAAGAACAGUGGUCCUUGUUUGCUGUGGGUAACUGAAAUGGCCAAAAGCAAAACCGCAGAUAAGGGGGACUCCUGUACCGCACACCCCAGGGCAGUUUUCUCGAAGGGGCUGUAUUACACGCUGAUUUCAAAGCGAAGGGCACAG